rnacentral:rRNA from 1 species
GAUGAACGCUAGCGGCAGGCUUAACACAUGCAAGUCAGGGGUAACGAUGGUGCUUGCACCAGGCGACGACCGGCGCACGGGUGAGUAACGCGUAUGCAACCUACCUUUUAACUGAGGGAUAGCCCAUGGAAACGUGGAUUAAUACCUCAUAAUAUAUAUCAUUCGCAUGUUUGAUAUAUUAAAGUUCCGGCGGUUAAAGAUGGGCAUGCGUGACAUUAGAUAGUUGGUGAGGUAACGGCUCACCAAGUCGACGAUGUCUACGGGGUCUUAAAGGAUGGUCCCGCACACUGGUACUGAGACACGGACCAGACUCCUACGGGAGGCAGCAGUGAGGAAUAUUGGUCAAUGGGCGCAAGCCUGAACCAGCCAUGCCGCGUGGAGGAAGACGGCCCUAUGGGUUGUAAACUCCUUUUAUAUGGGAAUAAUGGCAGUUACGUGUAAUUGUUUGAAGGUACCAUAUGAAUAAGCACCGGCUAACUCCGUG